rnacentral:rRNA from 1 species
UACAGAGGUCUCAAGCGUUGUUCGGAUUCAUUGGGCGUAAAGGGUGCGUAGGCGGGAUGACAAGUCUGUUGUUAAAUAUCCUGGCUCAACCAGGAAAGUGCAAUGGAAACUGUUAUUCUAGAGGGUGAGAGAGGGAAGUGGAAUUCCAGGAGUUAGCGGUCAAAUGCGUAGAUCUCUGGAGGAACACCGAUGGCGAAGGCAGCUUCUUGGCUCAUUUCUGACGCUGAGGCACGAAAGCGUGGGGAGCAAACAGG